GAUGAACGCUGGCGGCGUGCUUAACACAUGCAAGUCGAGCGAAGCACUAAAACGGAUUUCUUCGGAAUGAAGUUUUAAUGACUGAGCGGCGGACGGGUGAGUAACGCGUGGGUGACCUGCCUCAUACAGGGGGAUAACAGACAGAAAUGUCUGCUAAUACCGCAUAAGCGCACAGUGCUGCAUGGCACAGUGUGAAAAACUCCGGUGGUAUGAGAUGGACCCGCGUCUGAUUAGCUAGUUGGUAAGGUAACGGCUUACCAAGGCGACGAUCAGUAGCCGGCCUGAGAGGGUGAACGGCCACAUUGGGACUGAGACACGGCCCAAACUCCUACGGGAGGCAGCAGUGGGGAAUAUUGCACAAUGGGGGAAACCCUGAUGCAGCGACGCCGCGUGAAGGAAGAAGUAUUUCGGUAUGUAAACUUCUAUCAGCAGGGAAGAAAAUGACGGUACCUGACUAAGAAGCCCCGGCUAACUACGUGCCAGCAGCCGCGGUAAUACGUA
rnacentral:rRNA from 1 species